AUGAAUGCUAAAUACACAUGAGUUGGCAUGUAUGAAUAUGGGCAUAUGUUAAUGCUAGAUGACUUAUAAUGAUUCUCAUAUAAAUAUGAAUGCUAGGUGCACAUGGACAUGAAAGCUAGACAUAGUUAUGCUAGACGGAUAGUUAUGAAUGUGAAUACAUAUAAUUGUCGAUAUAUGAAUGUGAAAACUAGACGCAUAGUAUGCUAAAUUCAUAUAAUCAAAUAUAUGAUAUAUAAAUGUUGAACUUGUAAACGCCAAGGGCAUGUAAGUUGAAUGUGAAAUGUGAAAUGUGAAAUGUGACAUGUGAACAUAGAGGUUAAAGCAUAUGUAGUUAUCGACAUGUGAAAGCGAAUAGUUGAUGCCUAUAUCUAAACGUAUAUGAAAGUGAAUGUACUAUAGUUCGAGCUAUAUGAAAGUCGAUAAUUCCAGUUGAUUAGAGACCUCGAUAGUAACAAGACAAGCGAGAAUAUGUAAAUUAGAAUCCUAGGAAUGAACAACUAGGAUGAUACAUAGAUCGAGUGGUAUGACCUAGUGGUAGUAAACAUAGGUCGGACAUGAACCUAGUGUCAUUGGACAUAGGUCAAGUAAAUAAACCUAGAGUCGAGUUCUAGGUGAAAAUGAUAUAGAACCUAGCAAGUGAACCUAGGUUAUGAUGUAUAAUGAGACUUAGUACAUUUAAACUAAGUUGUGGAUUUUAGUGGUAUAGUGACCACUAGGAAAGGAUUAGUUUCGACCAGGAGGGUCGUCAACAUAGGGUAAAGUGAGUAAACCCUCAAGUUGUGAAAGUGAAUUCCGGAAUCCCAAGAUCUGUGAUGACCUUGGUAUCAAGGCUAGGGCGUGUGCGACGAUUUCGCCGCCGGAUGGUUAGCCAGUUUGUGGAUCCUACCGCCUGUUGACUGAACCACUGUCGUGGCGUGUGCGACGAUUUCGCCGCCGGGUGGCUAAGUCAUAGACCUAGGCUGUUGUUGGGUGAGGUGCGAUUUGUUCGCCGCCAGACAGCUAGGACAGGAGUACGGUGAGCUGUUGCCAGCUGAGGUGCAUGUGAGAGUUCCUUCACCUCGAGCUAGACAUUGCGCAGACUAUCCGCGAUUGAUUGACUCAAGACCGAGUCUG
rnacentral:lncRNA from 1 species